CCGAGAACAAGACGCACCCCGAGAACAGGUGUUUUUCUGGGGGCAAUUAAUGUACGGAAAGUCGAGAAAACUUUACUUUGGUCCAAAUGUUUGGUCUAAGAAGGUUCCAGAAAAAACGGCAGUAUUGCUUUGUCGACUGAAACUCCGGGAACCCACGCAGUCACGGAGAGAACAUGCAAACUUCACACAGAAAGAUCCCGACCCCAGGAUUGAACCCAGGACUACUCAGGACCUUCAUUGCUCUGCCCACUUCCUGUUAAGAACCAGGAAGUGUUGACAGGGAUGGGACUGUUGCUAUGGUGUGGUUACCAUGGUAGCCUACUUAAAUUGGGUUCAGGUGUAAGCACAGGCGGGGCGAUUGGAGGACAAACAGUUUUCGACCUUGCCGUGACAAUGCUGUAACAAUGUGCCAUUCAAGGUCAGCAUACUUUUUGUUAUAUAUAGCUUACCUUUGAUUUAAUUUGGAUAGCAUAAAAUAAACGUAUUGUCAUAUCCACACACCUUUCUACGAUUCUGGACAUUCUAUCAUUUACACGCGUCAACACAGUCGCCCUCAGUAUCGGCCCAGAGGUUAGGGCUGUACAAAUGCUAUUGACAGUUUAACGAUAUCAACACAAUAUUUAAACUGGUUCCUUAUUUUCUUGUAUUUCUUAGAAUUGUUAGAUCAAAACAAAGUCAAGACGACUCAAUAACUAAACAAAAGCAAAAAAUCCUAUCUACUCUUUUAAAUCCUUUGGCUUUUGACUCCAAAGCCCUUCUGUGUCCAGGUAAUUAUAUCCUGAAUUUGUAAACAUGAACAAA